AGUGAACGCUGGCGGUAGGCCUAACACAUGCAAGUCGAACGGCAGCACAGUAAGAGCUUGCUCUUACGGGUGGCGAGUGGCGGACGGGUGAGGAAUACAUCGGAAUCUACUUUUUCGUGGGGGAUAACGUAGGGAAACUUACGAUAAUACCGCAUACGACCUACGGGUGAAAGCAGGGGAUCUUCGGACCUUGCGCGAUUGAAUGAGCCGAUGUCGGAUUAGCUAGUUGGCGGGGUAAAGGCCCACCAAGGCGACGAUCCGUAGCUGGUCUGAGAGGAUGAUCGGCCACACUGGAACUGAGACACGGUCCAGACUCCUACGGGAGGCAGCAGUAGGGAAUAUUGGGCAAUGGGCGCAAGCCUGAUGCAGCCAUACCGCGUGGGUGAAGAAGGCCUUCGGGUUGUAAAGCCCUUUUGUUGGGAAAGAAAAGCUGCUGGUUAAUACCCCGCUGUUCUGACGGUACCCAAAGAAUAAGCACCGGCUAACUUCGUG
rnacentral:rRNA from 1 species